CUUGGUCAUUUAGAGGAAGUAAAAGUCGUAACAAGGUCUCCGUUGGUGAACCAGCGGAGGGAUCAUUAAUGAGUUAUAAAAACUCCCUAACCCACUGUGAAUAUACUAUUUUGUUGCCUCGGUGGGUUGUGUUUACCCUGUAGUUGCUACCCUGUAGCUACCCGGUAGCACGUAUUACGGCCCGCCGGUGUUUUUUUAAACUCUUGUUAUUUACUGCCAAUUCUGAACGUAUACAACUUAAUAAGUUAAAACUUUCAACAACGGAUCUCUUGGUUCUGGCAUCGAUGAAGAACGCAGCGAAAUGCGAUAAGUAAUGUGAAUUGCAGAAUUCAGUGAAUCAUCGAAUCUUUGAACGCACAUUGCGCCUACUAGUAUUCUAGUGGGCAUGCCUGUUCGAGCGUCAUUUCGACCAUUAAGCCCUCGUUGCUUAGCGUUGGGAGCCUACGGUUAUAUCGUAGUUCCUUAAAGUUAGUUGGCAGAGUUAGGGUAUACUCUCAGCGUAGUAAAUUUUUUCCUCGCUCUUGUGGUUGCCUUAGCUAUAGCCAUUAAGUACAUUUUUUAAAGGGUUGACCUCGGAUCAGGUAGGAAUACCCGCUGAACUUAAGCAUAUCAAUAAGCGGAGGA
rnacentral:rRNA from 1 species